CAUCCAUGGUGAGGACAAUCUGAUAUGUAUCCUUGAAAACGCUCCCAUGCUUCUGAAACGGUUUCUGUCCUCUACUGUUGGAAACUGACAAUAUUUUGUCUUAAGGCA
rfam:Sorghum bicolor cultivar BTx623 chromosome 3, whole genome shotgun sequence.